rnacentral:rRNA from 1 species
AAUUUUGGACAAUGGGGGAAACCCUGAUCCAGCCACCCCGCGUGUACGAUGAAGGCCUUCGGGUUGUAAAGUACUUUUGGCAGAGAAGAAAAGGUACCUCCUAAUACGAGGUACUGCUGACGGUAUCUGCAGAAUAAGCAGCGGCUAACGACGUGCCAGCAGCCGCGGUAAUACGGAGGGUGCGAGCGUUAAUCGGAAUUACUGGGCGUAAAGCGUGUGUAGGCGGUUCGGAAAGAAAGAUGUGAAAUCCCAGGGCUCAACCUUGGAGCUGCAUUUUUAACUGCCGAGCUAGAGUAUGUAAGAGGGGGGUAGAAUUCCACGUGUAGCAGUGAAAUGCGUAGAUAUGUGGAGGAAUACCGAUGGCGAAGGCAGCCCCCUGGGAUAAUACUGACGCUCAGACACGAAAACGUGGGGAGCAAACAG